UACGUAGGGGGCAAGCGUUGUCCGGAAUCAUUGGGCGUAAAGAGCGUGUAGGCGGCUCGGUAAGUCCGCUGUGAAAGUCCAGGGCUCAACCCUGGAAUGCCGGUGGAAACUGUCGAGCUAGAGUCCGGAAGAGGCGAGUGGAAUUCCUGGUGUAGCGGUGAAAUGCGCAGAUAUCAGGAGGAACACCGGUGGCGAAGGCGGGUCUCUGGGCCGAUACUGACGCUGAGGAGCGAAAGCGUGGGGAGCAAACAGG
rnacentral:rRNA from 1 species